rnacentral:rRNA from 1 species
UACGUAGGGGGCAAGCGUUGUCCGGAUUUAUUGGGCGUAAAGAGCGUGUAGGCGGCCAGGUAGGUCUGCUGUGAAAUCUCGAGGCUCAACUUCGAGCUGUCGGUGGAAACUAUCUGGCUAGAGUCCGGAAGAGGAGAAUGGAAUUCCUGGUGUAGCGGUGAAAUGCGCAGAUAUCAGGAAGAACACCCGUGGCGAAGGCGGCUUCCCUGGGCCGCCCCUGACGCUGA